AGUAUUAACAAAGGAGUAAUAUUUUAUGUACCUUUAUUUUCAUUAGAACAUGUUGAGUAUUUUGGUCAGUGAACACUCCCUGCCGCGCUGUAGUACAUGCGCAUAAGAAGUUCUCUCUCAGUCUGCAUUUGGAGCUGAGAGAGAUAGGUAUGUUGACGGAGCAAAUUAGCUUCUAAAAGUUGUCCUAGUGUUUAAAACACAGCAUUGUAAUGAUAUUUCGAAGAGCUAUGUAAGACAGUUGUAAUGCAUAAAGCAUAAGUCCGUACUGUAAAGCGUUUUGACGUUACCUCAGAAGUUAGCGUUGCGUUGUUUUCAACUGUGUUCCUUUGAAGUGCCACUGCUCGCAUCAAGUUGCGCUUGGCGAUGCAAGGCAUUAUGGGAAAUGUAGUUUUUCUCUGGGAUUUGUAUAAAAUGAAUGUAAAGUGUAUUUUUACUUGUCUAAUGUUGAGUAUGUGUGUGUAAGUGCACACAAGGUCAAUGUGCUUACUCUGUGAUGAAUUAGACAUGUGAGACAGGGCAUAUUUAUUUUUGUCAUUUAUUCUACUUCGUUAUUUUAUGCAUCCUUUACAGUAUUCUGAGAGGAGAGAAGGAUGUGAACUGAUGCAGUCCCUGUCACAUGUUGUAUCAUUACAGCAUUGUCUCCAUCCACUCCCCUCAACCCCAUCUCAAUCCAAGCAUCCCUGCCUACCAAGGAAAGUGCAAGAAAAUCCAUCUCAAUCCGAAAAAAUUCUGUCGGGUGUUUCCAUAUCAGGAUCCCCAUUAGCUGUGCCCUAAAGCAGAGCUAGUCUUCCUGUGGUCCACAUUAAACAAUACCUGGACCAAGACCUGGAGGCAUUCCAGAAUCACAUUUUAAUGUACGCGAGCAAAAGGUUCUCCUUCACACCACUGGUCUAUGAAGCCCGGACCAUUCUAGCGGCAAUGGACUACAACCAACACAGGGGCCGUCCAGAGAGGAAGACAGUUGACGGCAAG